GACGAACGCUGGCGGCGUGCUUAACACAUGCAAGUCGAACGGAAAGGCCCUGCUUUUGUGGGGUGCUCGAGUGGCGAACGGGUGAGAAACACGUGAGUCACCUGCCCUUGACUUUGGGAUAACUUCAGGAAACUGGGGCUAAUACAGGAUAGGUGCUCCUGCUGCAUGGUGGUGGUUGGAAAGCUUCGGCGGUUGGGGAUGGACUUGCGGUUUAUCAGCUUGUUGGUGGGGGAGUGGCAUACGCAGGCUUUGACGGGUAGCCGGCCUGGGAGGUGGGCCAGCCACAUUGGGACUGAGAGACGGCCCAGACGCCUACGUGAGGCAGCAGGGGGGAAUAUUGCACAAUGGGCGGAAGUCUGAGGCAGCAACGCCGCGUGCGGGAUGACGGCCUUCGGGGGGUAAACCGCUGUCGCCUGUGACGAAGCGGGAGUGACGGUAAUGGGUAAAGAAGCACCGGCUAACUACGUG
rnacentral:rRNA from 1 species